rnacentral:rRNA from 1 species
GAUGAACGCUGGCGGCGUGCCUAAUACAUGCAAGUCGAGCGAACGGACGAGAAGCUUGCUUCUCUGAUGUUAGCGGCGGACGGGUGAGUAACACGUGGAUAACCUACCUAUAAGACUGGGAUAACUUCGGGAAACCGGAGCUAAUACCGGAUAAUAUUUUGAACCGCAUGGUUCAAAAGUGAAAGACGGUCUCGCUGUCACUUAUAGAUGGAUCCGCGCUGCAUUAGCUAGUUGGUAAGGUAACGGCUUACCAAGGCAACGAUGCAUAGCCGACCUGAGAGGGGGAUCGGCCACACUGGAACUGAGAAACGGUCCAGACUCCUACGGGAGGCAGCAGUAGGAAAUCUUCCGCAAUGGGCGAAAGCCUGACGGAGCAACGCAGCGUGAGUGAUGAAGGUCUUCGGAUCGAAAACUCUGUUAUUAGGGAAGAACAUAUGUGUAAGUAACUGUGCACAUCUUGACGGUACCUAAUCAGAAAGCCACGGCUAACUACGUG